rnacentral:rRNA from 1 species
GACGAACGCUGGCGGCGUGCCUAAUACAUGCAAGUAGAACGCUGAAGGAGGAGCUUGCUCUUCUGGAUGAGUUGCGAACGGGUGAGUAACGCGUAGGUAACCUGCCUGGUAGCGGGGGAUAACUAUUGGAAACGAUAGCUAAUACCGCAUAACAGUAGAUGUUGCAUGACAUUUACUUAAAAGGUGCAAUUGCAUCACUACCAGAUGGACCUGCGUUGUAUUAGCUAGUUGGUGGGGUAACGGCUCACCAAGGCGACGAUACAUAGCCGACCUGAGAGGGGGGUCGGCCACACUGGGACUGAGACACGGCCCAGACUCCUACGGGGGGCAGCAGUAGGGAAUCUUCGGCAAUGGACGGAAGUCUGACCGAGCAACGCCGCGUGAGUGAAGAAGGUUUUCGGAUCGUAAAGCUCUGUUGUAAGAGAAGAACGAGUGUGAGAGUGGAAAGUUCACACUGUGACGGUAUCUUACCAGAAAGGGACGGCUAACUACGUG